UAUGAAAUAGAAAACUCUACUUGGAUGAUAACAGUAAGUUCAAGCUUUAUUUUAUUUUGAUAUUUGUGGGUUUCAAAUUAUGGUUCUUGCUCCGCUUCUAAGACGCAUGGCUUCACACUAAUUUCUCCAAUGUCGAUCACCUACUUCACUUAUUUUUUAUUUAUUUAUUUUUUUUUUUUCUGAAUUUGUGUUAUUCACAAACAAGCUAUAGACGGUCAAUCAAGAUGAACAAGCAAGACUUCAUGAAGUUAGAGCUGAUGCGAAAGCUAUUUUGAAGGGCUGAGUCAAGGAUGAUUACGAGGAUGAUGCUUCACUCUCUGUGGAUGAAUUGUACAUAUAGAUGUACCCAUUUUUGCUUCUUUGAGGUUUGUGAUUUUUCUUUUCGUAUGUAGUGAUGAGCGGUGUAACCUCGAUUAAAGGAAAAAGGAUGGGGCUGAGGGACUUAGCUGGACUUCAAAGCUUCUUCCCCAUAAAGAUCGUAGAUCUGACGCUUCUUGAGGUCGCUUAACACAUCAUACGCUUCAGAAAUCUGCUUGAAUUUGGCUUCCUCUUCUCCUUUGUUACUGCUAGGGUUUCUGUCCGGGUGCCAAAUCAUGGCGAGACGACGGUAGGCUUUUUUUAGGUCUUCAUCACUAGCAUUUCUGUAAUCCAUUGUAUGAUUUUCACUAUAAGGAUUUUGAUUUCAAAAAUAUUACAUCUUCACCACCUCCGACAUUAAAAAUUUUUAGAGAUGCAGAGGAGAAAUCAUUGAGAAGAUUGAUGGAAUUAGAAUCUGAGAAAAGUUUGAGUUUAAUCAAGAUACCAAAGAGAACGAGAAAGAGGAAGAUGGUUAAUAUGUAAAUAUUGGAUGGUAAUAAGGGCAAAGAUGCAGAAUGGAUUCAUCGUCAAAUGUCUAGGAGUUCAUAGAAAACCUCAAAAGGGGUGAAGGAGAAAGCUCCAUCUUUACAAGAAAACAGGAUUAGAGAAUCUAUAGAAUGUUCUAAAAUGGGAAACCGGUUACAUGUUAGCAAACAUCAUGAAAGAAAAACAAGUGCCAUAGCUUACAAGAACCAAAGGUCAGAAAAUAUGGCACAUAAAGUUGGUGAUAUCGUUAAACACAGUAGCAAUCUGCCUGACUAUCUCCAGUGUGGGGGCAAAACUGGAAAUAUCAAUUUUAAAGAGACAACUUCAUUAAAUUGAAACCCAAUUGAAGCUUCUUAGGAUAUCGACAUUUAAGGAUCGUCCUUCCGGCGGCACAUGCAAUACCGGAAUCGACAAUCGAUGCUCCAAAUUUGAAUCGACCUUCUACUUCUUUUCUUAUGUUUUCUACGGUUAUUGUGUUGUUUAGAAGUCCACGUUCACGAUUCCUUCUCAGGACUAUCGUUGUGUUAAAGAUGUUGCCACCAAUUUCUACUUAAACACAGAAUAAAACUGAGUCAUUCUACACUAUUACUCAUUCACAUCUUCAACCUUGCAGCCUCCUCGCAACCUACCAACACCUUCGUCACCAUCAGCCACCUCGAAACCAUAAUUUCUUUAUAUUUUUUCGAUUUAAAGGUUCAUUGAAGUGGGUUGGCUAAAGUGUUCUACUUCAAUAAAUUUUCAAUAAUCAAAGAUGCAAAACAACAAAGUUAAUGAGCUUGGUUGUGUUUUUAUGGUACCAACAAUCAACUAUCUUAUAUGUUGUAUCUUUAAAUGAUUAAAAACCACUUGAUAGUUAUUUAAAAAUCAUUCUUUCGACAUGAAGCUUUCCAAAGACCAAAAGAAGCACAUAUGUAGUCGUGAAAGUUUCGCCAAUAUUGCUGCCAAUACUUUUGUCGCAUCAACCAAUACAAAGUGCAUUGUCGAGCAUGUUAGUUAUUGUCAUAAGAUAUUAAACAUUUUACAUUAUUUUAUUUCAAAUUCUAGGUUUAGUUUUACAUAAAAUAACAAUGUUGUGCAUCGGAUGCAUUAUGAUGUUGUGAUAAGAUUUCAUAUGGUAGGUUAUGUGAGAAAAACACAAAGAUGGAUAGGUACUUGCACUUCUUAAUCAUGGGAUCCCUUUCCAAAGAUAAAUGAAAUCCCUGUAUAGCAGUAACUUAGCAUAGAUAUUCUCACAUGGCUUUGAAUAAAUUAGUUAUUUAGCUACACCU